rnacentral:rRNA from 1 species
GUCGAGCGGGCGUAGCAAUACGUCAGCGGCAGACGGGUGAGUAACGCGUGGGAACAUACCUUUUGGUUCGGAACAACACAGGGAAACUUGUGCUAAUACCGGAUAAGCCCUUACGGGGAAAGAUUUUUCGCCGAAAGAUUGGCCCGCGUCUGAUUAGCUAGUUGGUGAGGUAAUGGCUCACCAAGGCGACGAUCAGUAGCUGGUCUGAGAGGAUGAUCAGCCACAUUGGGACUGAGACACGGCCCAAACUCCUACGGGAGGCAGUAGUGGGGAAUAUUGGACAAUGGGCGCAAGCCUGAUCCAGCCAUGCCGCGUGAGUGAUGAAGGCCCUAGGGUUGUAAAGCUCUUUUGUGCGGGAAGAUAAUGACGGUACCGCAAGAAUAAGCCCCGGCUAACUUCGUGCCAGCAGCCCGCGGUAAUACGAAGGGGGCUAGCGUUGCUCGGAAUCACUGGGCGUAAAGGGUGCGUAGGCGGGUCUUUAAGUCAGGGGUGAAAUCCUGGAGCUCAACUUCCAGACUGCCUUUGAUACUGAAGAUCUUGAGUUCGGGAGAAGUGAGUGGAACUGCGAGUGUAAAGGUGAAAUUCGUAGAUAUUCCAAGAACACCAGUGGCGAAGCGGCUCACUGCCCGAUACUGACGCUGAGCACCAAAAGCGUGGGGAGCAAACAGGAUUAGAUCCCUGGUAGUCCACGCCGUAAACGAUGAAUGCCACCCGUUA